rnacentral:rRNA from 1 species
GACGAACGCUGGCGGCGUGCUUACCACAUGCAAGUCGAGCGGUAAGGCCUUUCGGGGUACACGAGCGGCGAACGGGUGAGUAACACGUGGGUGAUCUGCCCUGCACUUCGGGAUAAGCCUGGGAAACUGGGUCUAAUACCGGAUAUGACCUCCUAUCGCAUGGUGGGUGGUGGAAAGAUUUAUCGGUGCAGGAUGGGCCCGCGGCCUAUCAGCUUGUUGGUGGGGUAAUGGCCUACCAAGGCGACGACGGGUAGCCGACCUGAGAGGGUGACCGGCCACACUGGGACUGAGACACGGCCCAGACUCCUACGGGAGGCAGCAGUGGGGAAUAUUGCACAAUGGGCGAAAGCCUGAUGCAGCGACGCCGCGUGAGGGAUGACGGCCUUCGGGUUGUAAACCUCUUUCAGCAGGGACGAAGCGCAAGUGACGGUACCUGCAGAAGAAGCACCGGCUAACUACGUG